rnacentral:rRNA from 1 species
CCUACGGGGGGCUGCAGUGGGGAAUAUUGCACAAUGGGCGCAAGCCUGAUGCAGCCAUGCCGCGUGUGUGAAGAAGGCCUUCGGGUUGUAAAGCACUUUCAGCGGGGAGGAAGGCGGUGAGGUUAAUAACCUCAUCGAUUGACGUUACCCGCAGAAGAGGCACCGGCUAACUCCGUGCCAGCAGCCGCGGUAAUACGGAGGGUGCAAGCGUUAAUCGGAAUUACUGGGCGUAAAGCGCACGCAGGCGGUCUGUCAAGUCGGAUGUGAAAUCCCCGGGCUCAACCUGGGAACUGCAUUCGAAACUGGCAGGCUAGAAUCUUGUAGAGGGGGGUAGAAUUCCAGGUGUAGCGGUGAAAUGCGUAGAGAUCUGGAGGAAUACCGGUGGCGAAGGCGGCCCCCUGGACAAAGACUGACGCUCAGGUGCGAAAGCGUGGGGAGCAAACAGGAUUAGAUACCCCUGUAGUC